GGACGGGUGAGUAAUGUCUGGGGAUCUGCCCGAUAGAGGGGGAUAACCACUGGAAACGGUGGCUAAUACCGCAUAACGUCGCAAGACCAAAGAGGGGGACCUUCGGGCCUCUCACUAUCGGAUGAACCCCCAUGGGAUUAGCUAGUAGGCGGGGUAAUGGCCCCCCUAGGCGACAAUCCCUAGCUGGUCUGAGAGGAUGACCAGCCACACUGGAACUGAGACACGGUCCAGACUCCUACGGGAGGCAGCAGUGGGGAAUAUUGCACAAUGGGCGCAAGCCUGAUGCAGCCAUGCCGCGUGUAUGAAAAAAGCCUUCUGGUUGUAAAGUACUUUCUGCGGGGAGGAAGGCGACGGGGUUAAUAACCCUGUCGAUUGACGUUACCCGCAGAAAAAACACCGGCUAACUCCGUGCCAGCAGCCGCGGUAAUACGGAGGGUGCAAGCGUUAAUCGGAAUUACUGGGCGUAAAGCGCACGCACGCGGUCUGUUAAGUCACAUGUGAAAUCCCCGGGCUUAACCUGGGAACUGCAUUUGAAACUGGCAGGCUUGAGUCUUGUAGAGGGGGGUAGAAUUCCAGGUGUAGCGGUGAAAUGCGUAGAGAUCUGGAGGAAUACCGGUGGCGAAGGCGGCCCCCUGGACAAAGACUGACGCUCAGGUGCGAAAGCGUG
rnacentral:rRNA from 1 species